UCUCGGUGAUGAGAACUUUAUCAAGUUAUGCUACAGACAUUUAGUGAUGAUAAAGUAUGUCUGAGGAUA